UACCGAGGUCUCAAGCGUUGUUCGGAUUCAUUGGGCGUAAAGGGUGCGUAGGCGGCGCGGUAAGUCGGGUGUGAAAUCUCGGAGCUUAACUCCGAAACUGCAUUCGAUACUGCCGUGCUUGAGGACUGGAGAGGAGACUGGAAUUCAUGGUGUAGCAGUGAAAUGCGUAGAUAUCAGGAGGAAUACCGGUGGUGUAGACGGCUCUCUGGACCGCAACUGACGCUGAAACACGAAAGCGUGGGUAGCAAACAGG
rnacentral:rRNA from 1 species